AGAGGUUGAGAAAAAGAAAAAUAUUGAAAAAGAAAGAAAUAAAUGAAAAAAGAAAAGAAAAAGAAAAGAAAAGAAAAAAGGAAAAAGACUUGAAAAAGAAAAAAAAUAGAAUAACAUUGUGCUAAUAAGUUGUGUGGAUUGGUGUAGCAAUUUGGAAAAGAGAAAAGGGUGAAGGGAAUUCGUGAAUGCUUGAGAAAAUGAGAAGUGAUCAUUCUCAUUGGAUUAGGCAAAGUUUUUGUUUUAUUUACCUUGAGAAGAAC
rnacentral:lncRNA from 1 species